UGGACUAUCUGUGUAUGACACAUAUGAGUUA
rnacentral:piRNA from 1 species